AGCCAGAGAGCCGAGUGCGGGGCGGUACAGGACUGCCUGUGUGGUUAGCACCACAGUCGCUCAGCAGAGGAGCACAGCGCCAGUAAGCAAGGAGCUGUCUAUGUAUUAAGGCAUCUCCUCCCUGAGUAAAACCUCCCCCUUCCAGCGCCUCCUCACAGCUGGGGAAAGAGAGGAAGAAACUUCGUUCUUGGGUUGUGGGGAGAAGCUUUUAUCCCACUUUAUCCCUGAAAUAUGUUCCCCCCCUGGGUGUCCGUUCUUAUACUACUUCCGAGUCUGGGAGGGGCUAAUGGAGAGUCCGUGACACAACCUGAUGACCCAGUGACUGUGUCCCAAGGGGAACCAGCGCUUCUGAAAUGCAUCUAUGACUAUGACGCUUCCUAUACUAUUCCCACACUCUGGUGGUACGAGCAACACCCAAAUGAAGCCCCUCGCCUCUUGCUGACACAAUAUGAAACAUUGGAUGAGGAGGAGAGAAGGAGCCGGCGAGGGUUCUCCGCCACACCCGACAAACACGAGAAGACCUUCCACCUGAAGAAAAACUCCAGUGAACUGCGCGACUCCGCCGUCUAUUACUGUGCCAUGAGCGACACAGCGAUUGCGCCCAGCAGAGUCGCUGCACAGAAACCCGCUGGGGGAGAGGAGGCAGCGCACUAA